CCUGUCAGUGAUCAUCACACGUCACACAAAUCAAAGGGGAACGUUUCCCCCUCUCAUCCUGUUCUGCAAAUCAUUUUCCGUCUUAUUUGAAACCUUAACGCUGCUCCUUCACUCGGCACAUCUGCUGUCCAUCCUCAUCCUCUCAACCGACGUGAGGAAGAGGAGGACGAGGAUCUCGCAUGAGAGGUGAUGCACGAGUUUCCAUGGUUGAGAUGUGACUGCUGUUGGCCGUGUCGUCGGUUUGAAGAGCAUGACACCAUGCAGAUGCAGCCCUGAGGAGAUUCUUGUGUGUUUGAGUCAACAGCAGCUGUGCUCGCUGAAGAAGAGAAGCUGUCCAAAGAGCUUUUCACAGCAAAGAAAAGAAACGCCGCUCAGGUGCUCAAUGGAGGCAGCCACCAUGACAGACUUGUGCACACACACACACACACACACACUACACGCACGUGCACACACACACCUGGCUGUGGUUGCACUCGGUCUUUAACUGGGCUACUAAGCCAACAAUAUAAACAAAAACAACAAAAAAAACAGGCUAAAAGGGCGUAACUUCCAUCUUUCUUGCACCGCCACCGACUAUUUUCUCAUCACCCUCCGCUAUCUGAUAGGCGAGGCUGGCAGAGGAAAGAACCAAAGAGAGGUGAAAAAAGCCCAAGUUCACAGUCUUGUCUUUCCAAAGUCUUUAACACACACAUAUGCACACCAAAUUGUUGUCAGCCCUCUAUUUAUCAAACCAGAACACGCAGUGGUCAUUGAAAUAACUUGAAUGUGAUAAAAGUCAAAAAUACAAAUGUAAUUUAAAAUAAAUGAAAAAAUCAUCAAAAUUCAAAAAAGUUUGCUAGAGUUGUGAUUUCUGACUAUAUGUGUAACGGUAGUUACAGGAACAUCAACCUUCUUGGAGAUGGUCUUGUAGCCUUUUGACGUGCUUAUCUAUAAUCGUAUUCCUAAUCUCCUAAAACAAUGCUCUCAUUUGCUUCCUCCGUUUCAUAUUCAUGGAGUACACCCAUGUCUGCACAGUGACAUGCCUAUCAGCCUUUAAAUAGGCCCGGCUGACUCAGUCACAUGACCAAGUUUGAACAUUUCAACCAAUGUUGAAAAUGUCCAAUCUUUUCUCGGGGUAAAAUCAAUUUUGUCCAUCCCCCUGUAUUGCAAAGUUCUUUUAACCUCCUCACAAAUGAAGGGCAUAGUCAAUAGUUUUUACACCAGUCUAAUUUAUUGUGUAACACAUUGAAUAUUUACAAAAAAGUACCAAAAAAAAGUAAACAUAUGUUUUUUUUUUCAUUAUUUAUAGAGCAGUUUUGUCACAGUCCUUUAUGAUUAAGAUUAUAAUAAUUCACUUAAACCAACGCCUGAUUUUCAUUGUUUUUAUUUUAAUUAGUUCACACUGACUUGAUAUGAGUAAGAACAUUUGUAAAGGGUGAUAAUGUGUGUGGUAAGACUGUGGCCUUUCUGUAUGUGUGUGUGCACGUUUUUCUGCGCGACAGGAAAAGGAAUCUCUCAGCAGCCACGCUGACAUCAUUCAAGUAUGCGUCAGACACUUAGAGUGGGCCCCUCAAAAGACAACAGUCCGCCUGCUUGCCUUUGUGUGAGUGUGUGUCUGCGCAAGGGUCUAUUGAAGUGCAUCUGUGUAUUCACGUUCUCACCUGUUCCUCUUUGACUUGUCAACCUCUCGCGUUCACCUCUUUUCUACCCAAAAUGGACAAAAUGGCGUGUAUGUGUGUGCUCAUCUUCUACUAACGCUUCAAAAGAAGCAGAUGUGAAUGUGUGGAUCAAUUUUUUUUCUAGUUUGGGUUAAAAGCCCAAGGUCUGCUUUUGUGAUUGACGUGUGUGACAUGCACUUUAUGUGUGUGUGUAUUCAUAUUGGAAGACGCUUACUUGACCAUGUAUGGUAAAAAAAAUUCAAUCACACGUCUAGUAAAGUGAAUGAUAUUGACAAGGCUGAUGAUGGCCAACAAAGUCAGUUCAAACAAGACAUUUUGUUUGAGUUUUUUAUUUAAUGUUUGUUUCCCAAUGAUAACAGUCCAAACAUGUGGGAAAAGGCACCAGGCUGCUUCCUGUUUGAUUGCUUGGCAACCAGUGCUCAAUAUGGGCAAGCACCGUUUUGCACUCUUUCCACCUUUGGGUGCUGUGCAAAUCAAUUGCAAUGUGUGAGCAUCUUUCAUCUUCAGCUCAAAUCACUUUGCCAAAGAAAAUGAAGUGAAGGACAUUGUUGUCAUUUGUGACAAAUUAGUCAAAUUGGGCUGGAACUUAAGAGGCACCAAAACUUCAAAAAUCUUCAGUCAAAAAUGGCCAAAGUGGACAAAAACUACAAAAAAUACUUUUGUAACUUAAAAACAGCCAAAACAGAAUCUCUCUCUCUCUCUCGCUCUCGCUCUCGCUCUCGCUCUCGCUCUCGCUCUCGCUCUCGCUCUCGCUCUCGCUCUCGCUCUCGCUCUCGCUCUCGCUCUCACUCACUAUGCCACACUAACAAAAACAACUGUUGUUGCUCUUACGUAAUUCAUGAAAAACGUAUCUACAAUAUGUGGUGGCACCUAAUGUUGUUUUCAUUUUGUAAAAUCUAUAAUGUGUUCUAAAUUGUGUUCAUUGAGUUUCAACAAAUGUCAAAAUCUCUCAUUCGGCUUGCACAUAAGUUCACAUCCGAACUAUGAGGCUCAUUAAAACGACUUCCAGACAUUUUGCAUAUUAACCACAAAGUGGACAAUAAACACCUGACAUGCUUUAAGUGUCAGAGUAUAAAUGUCUUCAUCCAAAGACAAAUUUCUGUGCUGUGAAAUCAUUUGGUCCGUGUCACGUCUUGCCCACA